GACGAACGCUGGUGGCGUGCCUAAUACAUGCAAGUUGAGCGCUGAAGGUUGGUACUUGUCCCAACUGGCUGAGCAGCGAACGGGUGAGUAACGCGUGGGGAAUCUGCCUUUGAGCGGGGGACAACAUUUGGAAACGAAUGCUAAUACCGCAUAAAAACUUUAAACACAAGUUUUAAGUUUGAAAGAUGCAAUUGCAUCACUCAAAGAUGAUCCCGCGUUGUAUUAGCUAGUUGGUGAGGUAAGGGCUCACCAAGGCGAUGAUACAUAGCCGACCUGAGAGGGUGAUCGGCCACAUUGGGACUGAGACACGGCCCAAACUCCUACGGGAGGCAGCAGUAGGGAAUCUUCGGCAAUGGACGAAAGUCUGACCGAGCAACGCCGCGUGAGUGAAGAAGGGUUUCGGAUCGUAAAACUCUGUUGGUAGAGAAGAACGUUGGUGAGAGUGGAAAGCUCAUCAAGUGACGGUAACUACCCAGAAAGGGACGGCUAACUACGUG
rnacentral:rRNA from 1 species